UACGUAGGUGGCAAGCGUUGUCCGGAUUUAUUGGGUUUAAAGGGUGCGUAGGCGGUCUUAUAAGUCAGUGCUGAAAUAUCCCGGCUUAACCGGGAGGGUGGCAUUGAUACUGUAGGACUUGAGUAGAGUUGAGGUUGGCGGAAUUGACGGUGUAGCGGUGAAAUGCAUAGAUAUCGUCAAGAACACCGAUAGCGAAGGCAGCUUACUGGGCUGUAACUGACGCUGAUGCACGAAAGUGUGGGGAUCAAACAGG
rnacentral:rRNA from 1 species